AGCUUUGCGCAGUGGCAGUAUCAUAGCCAAUGAGGUUUAUCCAAGGCGAGGCGCGAUUAUUGCUAAUUGAAAUGUUAACUUAAUGGAUAGUUAUUGCAUAAUCUGUAUGCAUAUGGUUCGAAAUACAAUGGUGCA
rfam:Mustela putorius furo unplaced genomic scaffold scaffold00028, whole genome shotgun sequence.